GAAAUCAAUAUAUUGAGACAAGGGAGAAAGGACAGAAUUAAUUUCAGAUAUAAAGGACAGAAUUGAUUCCAGAUGUCUGGAAUCAAUUCUGUCCUUUCUCCCUUGUCUCAAUAUAUUGAUUUC